CGGGGCGUAGCUUAGCCUGGUAGAGCGCCUGGUUUGGGACCAGGAGGUCGAGAGUUCGAAUCUCUCCGCCCCGACCA
rnacentral:tRNA from 1 species